rnacentral:rRNA from 1 species
UACGGGGGGAGCAAGCGUUGUUCGGAUUUACUGGGCGUAAAGGGCGCGUAGGCGGCCACCGCAAGUCGACUGUGAAAUCUCCGGGCUUAACCCGGAAAGGUCAGCCGAUACUGCGGGGCUAGAGUGCAGAAGGGGCAACUGGAAUUCUCGGUGUAGCGGUGAAAUGCGUAGAUAUUGGGAGGAACACCAGUGGCGAAGGCGGCUACCUGGACCGGUUCUGACGCUGAGGCGCGAAAGCGUGGGGAGCAAACAGG